UACGUAGGGGGCAAGCGUUGUCCGGAUUUAUUGGGCGUAAAGAGCGUGUAGGCGGCCGUACAGGUCAGCUGUGAAAACUCGAGGCUCAACCUCGAGACGUCGGUUGAAACCACCUGGCUAGAGUCCGGAAGAGGAGAGUGGAAUUCCUGGUGUAGCGGUGAAAUGCGCAGAUAUCAGGAAGAACACCCGUGGCGAAGGCGGCUCUCUGGGACGGUACUGACGCUGAGACGCGAAAGCGUGGGGAGCGAACAGG
rnacentral:rRNA from 1 species